rnacentral:rRNA from 1 species
GGCGCACGGGUGAGUAACGCGUAGGUAAUCUACCCUUAUGACUGGGAUAACAUCGGGAAACUGGUGCUAAUACCGGAUAUACUUCUUCACCGCGGGGUGAAGGAGGAAAGGUGGCCUCUUGGUCAAAGCUACCGUAUAGGGAUGAGCCUGCGUACCAUUAGCUAGUAGGCGGGGUAACGGCCCACCUAGGCAACGAUGGUUAGCGGGUCUGAGAGGAUGAUCCGCCACACUGGAACUGGAACACGGACCAGACUCCUACGGGAGGCAGCAGUGAGGAAUAUUGCGCAAUGGGGGAAACCCUGACGCAGCGACGCCGCGUGAGUGAGGAAGGCCUUCGGGUCGUAAAGCUCUGUCAGAAGGGAAGAAGUGUUAUACGGUUAAUACCCGUAUAAUUUGACGGUACCUUCAGAGGAAGCACCGGCUAACUCCGUGCCAGCAGCCGCGGUAAUACGGAGGGUGCUAGCGUUGUUCGGAAUUACUGGGCGUAAAGGGCGCGUAGGCGGCUUUAUAAGUCAGAUGUGAAAGUCCACGGCUCAACUGUGGAAGUGCAUUUGAAACUGUGAAGCUUGAGUAUC